rnacentral:rRNA from 1 species
GACGAACGCUGGCGGCGUGCUUAACACAUGCAAGUGGAGCGACGAACCGGGGCUUGCCCCGGGGCAGAGCCGCGAACGGGUGAGUAACACGUGGGUUACCUACCCCGAUGACCGGGACAACCCGAGGAAACUCGGGCUAAUACCGGAUGUGGUCUUCGGACGAAAGGAAGCUUCGGCCUCCGCAUCGGGAUGGGCCCGCGGCGCAUUAGCUUGUUGGUGGGGUAACGGCCUACCAAGGCGACGAUGCGUAGCUGGUCUGAGAGGACGAUCAGCCACACUGGGACUGAGACACGGCCCAGACUCCUACGGGAGGCAGCAGUGGGGAAUCUUGCGCAAUGCGCGAAAGCGUGACGCAGCAACGCCGCGUGGGGGAAGAAGGCCUUCGGGUUGUAAACCUCUUUCAGUUGGGACGAAGCCUCGUCGGUUAAUAGCCGGCUGAGGUGACGGUACCUUCAGAAGAAGCCCCGGCUAACUACGUGCCAGCAGCCGCCGUAAAAC